rnacentral:rRNA from 1 species
GAUGAACGCUGGCGGCGUGCUUAACACAUGCAAGUCGAACGAUGAAGCCCAGCUUGCUGGGUGGAUUAGUGGCGAACGGGUGAGUAACACGUGAGUAACCUGCCCUUAACUCUGGGAUAAGCCUGGGAAACUGGGUCUAAUACCGGAUAGGAGCGUCCACCGCAUGGUGGGUGUUGGAAAGAUUUAUCGGUUUUGGAUGGACUCGCGGCCUAUCAGCUUGUUGGUGAGGUAAUGGCUCACCAAGGCGACGCGGGGUAGCCGGCCUGAGAGGGUGACCGGCAACACUGGGACUGACACACGGCCAAGACCCCUACGGGGGGCAGAAGGGGGGAAUAUUGAACAAGGGGCGCAAGCCUGAGGCAGCGACGCCGGGUGGGGGAGCACGGCCUUGGGUUUGAAACCCUCUUUCGGUAGGAAAGAAGCAAAAGUGACGGUACCUGAAAAAGAAGCCCGGCCUAACUACGUG